rnacentral:rRNA from 1 species
CAGCCGCCGCGGUAAUACGUAGGGGGCGAGCGUUACCCGGAUUCACUGGGCGUAAAGGGGGUGUAGGCGGCUCGGUAAGUCGGGUGUGAAAUCCCACGGCUCAACCGUGGAAUUGCGCCCGAAACUGCCGAGCUUGGGGCCGGUAGAGGGAGACGGAACUGCCGGUGUAGGGGUGAAAUCCGUAGAUAUCGGCAGGAACGCCGGUGGGGAAGCCGGUCUCCUGGGCCGCGCCCGACGCUGAGGCCCGAAAGCUAGGGGAGCAAACCGGAUUAGAUACCCGGGUAGUCCUAGCCGUAAACGGUGGGCACUAGGUGUGGGGGGUUAAUCCCUCCGUGCCGAAGCUAACGCAUUAAGUGCCCCGCCUGGGGAGUACGGCCGCAAGGUUGAAACUUAAAGGAAUUGGCGGG